rnacentral:rRNA from 1 species
AUACGCGCGUGUGAAUAGUGGCGUGUUCUGGACCCGAAGCGGAGUGAUCUACCCAUGGCCAGGGUGAAGCGCGGGUAAGACCGCGUGGAGGCCCGAACCCACUUAGGUUGAAGACUGAGGGGAUGAGCUGUGGGUAGGGGUGAAAGGCCAAUCAAACUCCGUGAUAGCUGGUUCUCCCCGAAAUGCGAUUAGGUGCAGCGUUGCGUGGUUCACCGCGGAGGUAGAGCUACUGGAUGGCCGAUGGGCCCUACUAGG